rnacentral:rRNA from 1 species
GUUCCCGGCGUGUCAGCGGGACGUCCUGCCGGUAGGCGGACACGUGCCCUUCGCGGGUGGCGGCCGCCGUUAAAUCUUGUUCGUGCGCGUUCGCCGGUUGAGUCCGCGCGUUCGCGUACGGCGGGCCGGCACGUUUACUUUGAACAAAUUAGAGUGCUCAAAGCAGGCUCGAAAGUGGCGAGGCGUUUUAACGAGCGUCUCGUCGUAUAGCCCUGAAUAUGGUCGCAUGGAAUAAUGGAACAAGACCUCGGUCCCGCCUCUACGCUGCUCGCAGCGCGUGAACGCAGCCCUCGCGGCUCUUCCGUGCGCGGGUUACCGGUCGGGGUAUCGCGUUCGCGUCCGUCUGCACGUCUGUCCACCGUUGCGGCGGUACAGCACGUCAGCGGGUUACGCAUCGUCGAUGUUCAGCCCCGAUCGUUGGCCGGUUUUCGGGACCGGAGGUAAUGAUCAACAGAGACAGGCGUGGGCAUUCGUACCGCGACGUUAGAGGUGAAAUUCUUGGAUCGUCGCGAGACGAACCGAAGCGAAAGCAUUUGCCAAGUAUGUUCUCGUCUGAUCAAGAACGAAAGUUAGAGGUUCGAAGGCGAUCAGAUACCGCCCUAGUUCUAACCGUAAACGAUGCCAGCUAGCGAUCCGCCGGAGUUCCUCCGAUGACCCGGCGGGCAGCUUCCGGGAAACCGAAGCUUUUCGGUUCCGGGGGAAGUAUGGUUGCAAAGCUGAAACUUAAAGGAAUUGACGGAAGGGCACCACCAGGAGUGGAGCCUGCGGCUUAAUUUGACUCAACACGGGAAACCUCACCAGGCCCGGACACCGGAAAGAUUGACAGAUUGAGAGCUCUUUCUUGAUUCGGUGGGUGGUGGUGCAUGGCCGUUCUUAGUUGGUGGAGCGAUCUGUCUGGUUAAUUCCGAUAACGAACGAGACUCUGUCCUGCUAAAUAGGCGGGUCUUUCGCCGCCCGCGGAUCAGCGUGCGACGGUCACAAGCCGUUGUGCCUGCCGCGGUCCACGGCGAAACGGUAUCCCCGAACGUGGCUGGCCGUCGUUAGCGGCGUUCGCGUUGGUCUGCGUCGCUCGUCGGGCGGUUCGCGCCGUUUCGGCGGGUAGCGCGGCCGAUUGUGGGCGUUGCGCGGCGGUUUUACGCCGCCAAUAGGGCUACCGCCGGCUGAUAAAGCUUAAACUCUUCUUAGAGGGACAGGCGGCGGAUAACACUAGCCGCACGAAACUGAGCGAUAACAGGUCUGUGAUGCCCUUAGAUGUUCUGGGCCGCACGCGCGCUACACUGAAGGAAUCAGCGUGUAAUAUUUCCCGGGCCGAGAGGCUUUACCGGGUAACCCGCUGAACCUCCUUCGUGCUAGGGAUCGGGGCUUGCAAUUGUUCCCCGUGAACGAGGAAUUCCCAGUAAGCGCGAGUCAUCAGCUCGCGUUGAUUACGUCCCUGCCCUUUGUACACACCGCCCGUCGCUACUACCGAUUGAACGACCGCAGUGAGGUCUUCGGACCGAGGUACGGCGGCGUUCGCGCCGAUUUGUACAUUCGGGAAGAUGACCGAACUCGGCCGUUUAGAGGAAGUAAAAGUCGUAACAAGGUUUCCGUAGGUGAACCUGCGGAAG